GCUCAGGUAGCUCAGUCGGUAGAGCACACCCAUGGUAAGGGUGAGGUCGGCGGUUCAAUCCCGCUCUUGAGCU
rnacentral:tRNA from 2 species